AUGAACGCUGGCGGCGUGGAUAAGGCAUGCAAGUCGAGUGGGUUUAGACCCACGGCAGACGAGGUAGUAACACGUAGGAACGUACCCCAAAGUCGAGCAUAACUAGCCGAAAGGUUAGACAAUUCUCGAUGGUCUCGUAAGAGUAAAGAUUUAUCGCUUUGGGAGCGGCCUGCGAGCUAUCAGCUUGUUGGUAGGGUAAUGGCCUACCAAGGCAAUGACGGCUAGGGGAGGUGAGAGCCUGACCCCCACCGAUGGAACUGAGAUACGGUCCAUACACCUACGGGUGGCCGCAGUCGAGAAUCUUCCGCAAUGGGCGAAAGCCUGACGGAGCGACGCCGCGUGAUUGAUGAAGUCCUUAGGGACGUAAAGAUCUUUUAUAAGGGAGAAAGUUUAUUGAUAGUACCUUAUGAAUAAGGGGUUGCUAAACUCGU
rnacentral:rRNA from 1 species